CAGGGGACAGGAGAGACGUGGUUAUGUAAGGAGAGGGAGGAUGAGUACAGGGAAUGCACCGAGUAGAGCAGCAGCACCUCCUGACUUCCGGGCGAUUUCAGGCUGCUCAGGGAGAGAGACGUGGUGGAUACACACUCAUAUAUAUGACUACAGAGCAUGACCCUGCAAUGAAGGAAGCAGACGCAGACCCUAGGCAGGGCAUACGGAAGCCUGGCCUGCUCUAGGGAGGCGAGAAAUGCUCUCCUUAGGAAGUGAUGUCAAGGGCUUUGCUCUGGAGGAAAUCCCAGAGUGUGCAAAUAGCCAGAUAAAAACUGAUGAGAUGGACAGCAGCUGUGUGGCCGUCAGGCCUUGGGCUUGUUUACUGUGUGGCACUGGGUCGCGCGUGCCCUCUCAGAGCCCGUUUCCUCCGGUGUGAUGUGGGGACAAUAAAGAACAAGGCCAGUGCACACACUGUGGGGACUUGGCUUGUGCCUCUUUAGGAAUAUCGUUUGCAGACUGCUGUGGAACCGAGUCGCCCGGCGAUGUGGAAGAGACCCACUGAGAUCACUGUGUCAGGCCCCAGAGCUGGCGGAUGGAAGGACCUCCAAGGAGAUAUCUGUUAGUAGAGGUGGUCUGGAAUCUCUCAGGCAAGCUUGGAGCAUGCUUGGGUGGACGUAAGGGGAUAGCUAACGGCCGCAAGCCUCUGUUUCCCUCCUUCAGCAUGCUGAAGAAUCACCUCAAGCCAGGUGUGGAGGCACACGCCUUCAAUCCCAGCCCUCGGGAGGCAAAGGCAGGUGGAUCUCUGUGAAUUUGAGGCCAGCCUGGGCUACAGAGUGAGUUCCAGGACAGCCAGGACUAUGUAGAGAAACCUCGUCUUGGAAAAAAAAAAAAUCACAAGUUUUAUUUUUUAAGAAGUACAUUAGUUUAUUUAUUUUGCGUGUAUGUGUGUGGGCCUGUGUAUGAAAGCCAGAGGACAACUUUGGGGAGUCAGUUCUCUUUUACCACGUGGUUCCUGGCCCUUAAACUAGAGCUCUUGAGCUUGUCAGCCGGAGCCCUUAUGCACUGAGCCACCUCAGCAGCUUACCUGAAGGAUUCGAUUCGCCGCUACAUCACAGAUCCGGACCCACCUCUGAUUCUGGUGCCAUGUUUGGGGGAAGGUCCAGGAUUUCCCAUCCUUAACAAGAUCUCAGAGGAUUCUGAGGCUGACGGUCUGUGGACCACAGAACUCCUCCACGAUGCCAGAAGAGGGCGUUGGAUCCCCUGGGACUGGAGUCAUAGAGGGAUGUGAGCCACCAUGUGAUUGCUGGGAACCAAACUCAGAUACUCUGCAGGAGCAGGCAAGGAAGCUGUCAACAACACGUUCCCUACACCAUGAUGUUUUUCCCAAGCUUGUUGAGCUGUGCAACCAUGGACCGACCUCUCUGAAACCCCGAGUCAGACUAAACCUUUUUCCUCUUGGAGUUACUAUGUCUGGUACUGGUCACAACUAUGCCAAAGGAACUAACAUGCCCUCCAUUACCCUCAUUCUCUAUCCUUAGCAAUACCUAACCAGUCGGUGGUCACAAGGAAAUAGCUCCUUCAGGGGCUGGAGGGAUGACUCCACAGUUAAGAGCCUUUAUUGCUCUUAGAGAGGGCCCAGGUUCAGGUCCCAGCACCUACCUACAUGUGGGCUCACAACUGUCUGUAACUCCAGUUCUAGGGGAUCCAACACUCUCUUCUGACUUCUGAGGGCACCAGGCGUGCAUGAUGUACCUAUACUUAUAUACACAAAAGGAAGGAAGGAAGGAAGGAAGGAAGGAAGGAAGGAAGGAAGGAAGGAAGGAAGGAAGGGAGAAAGGAAAAGGAAGGAAGGAAGGAAGGAAGGAAGGAAGGAAGGAAGGAAGGAGCCCCUUUAAUCCCAGAACUAGGGAGGUUGAGGCUGGCAGAUCUCUGUGAGUUCCUGGCCAGCUAAGGCUACAUAGUGAGACCCUGUCUCAAUAAAGAAAAAAAAAUGUCCACGCAUGGUGCUUAGUGUAGGGUGUGGCUCAAGUCCUUCACACAGACAGUUCUCUCUGGAAUUUUCUUUGAGCUAGGGUCUUCCUCUUGACUUAGAAGGACGGCUCAAAGCGCAGCUUUAACCUCUCCUAACUGGAGUGCCAUGUGUCACCUUAGAAGUGACCAGAAAGCAAAGUAUAAAAGUGAACUCCUGUAACUCCAGCAUUCAGGUGGAUCACAGUUCUGUGCCUGCCUGGGCUGCACGGCAAGGCUGUGCCAAAAUAUACAAAACAAAACAAACAAGAUUGCCCUCGGUGCUCGGGAUGGAGCUCUGUAGAGUGUUUACCUCGCAUUCACAGAGCCUUGGGAUCGAUCCCCAGGUCUCUGGAAAUGGGGCACGGUGGAGUAUGUUUGCAAUUGCAGCACCUAAGAGGUAGAAGCCGGAGUUCAGUUAUCCUCAGCUACAGAACAAGUUGAGCUCAACUUGGGAUACAUGGGAUCCUUUCUUAAAAGAAAAAAGAAAAAUGUCCUUGGCAUUGCUGUCCCAAUGCAUUUUGUCACUUAACCCAGGGAAAAAGGCAGUUGUCUGAAGUUUUGCAGUCUGGUUAAAGACUUCUCAGGUGAGGAGAACCAGGCUCCGUGGAAAGUGACUUGCCCAAGGCCACCCAGAAGCUUGCUCUUUCUGUGCUCCAGCUCCUGCUGUGAGUCAUAUCCUCGGCAGGGGAGCAAAGGCCUGCCAAUCCUGCCUCCUUCCCCUGAAGGUGGAGACCCAGUCAGGUUUCCCAUGGCUUGAGUUUCCUACUGACUGGGAGCUGAGGCUAAGAGGUGGCCAUGGCAGGUUCCCUGCCUCUCUGGGUGGCUCUGAUCCCUCUUCGAUCCGACUUCCAAGAGGCCCAAGGUGAAGAAACUUGGCUUUGAGACCAGACCACCCACCUCAGCAGCCGAGGACUGCUUGGGUGACCAAGCAGCCAGCAAAGUGGCCCCCACCCACCCUCUGUGUUUUCCUCUAGAGCUUUUAUUGUGAGCUUAUCCUUAAGGGGGAAAAUAUCCCAUUAACUUAAAAUAGACCAGACUUAAUUAAUAGCAUGCUUUGUUCUCAGGAUUCUUAUCUGUACCGGAAGACACACCUCUUUUCGGUUUUGUGGGUCAAGGUGAAGUUGCCUCUGGGGGCUCAUAAACGGCUGCUCCAUUUUCCACUUUUGAACUCUGGUUCCCUUUGGCUUUUUCCUCCCAUGGGUAGAAGGGUUUUUCCCAACUCGUUAGCCUGGCCUGUUCACCAGGGCCUUUCCUACUCUUAGAUUGCCAGCAUGACACGUUAUAAUUAUUUCUUCUUGUAUGAUUAAUAGCUACUGUGUACUAAAUACCUUAGCCAGGCCCUCUGCUGAGGGUUUCUCAAAGUUCUGUGUGUGGCUAUUCUAAUUACAUCUAUUAGAUGAGGAAGCUGGGGACUCCCAGCUUCCACAAAGCUCCAAAAAGUAGAAGCAGGCUUUGAAUCCUGGUCUCUGUGUCUCCAAACACUCAAGGCUUACUUAUCGACAUUUACCUACGCACUCAAUGGCCACACAAUGCUAGCUUUAAAAAACAUGCUCUUAGGCAGGUGAGGUAGCUUAGGAGGUACGGGUCCUUGUUGCUAUCCUCAGCUACAGAGCGAGAUUGAGGCUAGCCUGGCUUCGGUGGGGGUUUGUCUAAAGAACAGGACAAAAAGAAGAGGACAGCAGGCUAGCUCCGAGGGUAAGGAAACUUGCUGUCAAGCCUGAUGACUGGAGUUUGAUCUCUGGGAUCCACACGAUGCAAGGAGAGAACUGACUCCUGAAAGUGGUCCUCUGACCUCCACACCCACACUGUGGCACACACCUAAGUGCCCCCACCCACCACUAACAAAUAAAUCUGCUUUUUCAAAAAGCUCUUUUUAUUCUCUUCACUUAAAAUUUCUCUUUUAUCUCUCACAGUCUUAGGAGAUAUGAACAAUAUUAUUCUAUAUCACAGAGGCUGAAACCGAGGCACAGCGAGAUGAAUUUCUUUCCCCAGUAACACCGGGAUACCGGGUAGAGCUGUAAUUUGCAUCAGAUAUGGCCUCUUAGGGAACUGGGAUCACAGCAUAAGUAGAUUAGAAGCUAAACAUCGUUGUUCGGUUUUACCCAAAUUACUUUACCUUCCUCAACUUUUUUAGUUUCUCAUCCAUAAAACUGGGAACAUUUCCUGUUUUUCAGCUUCUUGAGGUGGCUGUGAGAUUCAUAAGCGUGGGAACAGGACGGCUGUUGAGAACCUGCUGUCGGGGCCCGUCUUGGCUACAGUCCUAAUCUUGGCUUUGGAUGGCUGUAUGAUCUUUUUCAAGUUCCCUUCCAUGUUGCCUGUAUUUUUUUCUAUUUUGUAGCUCGGCAAGGUAGCAGAGGCUUAUUUAUCCAGAUACUGAUCCAGAAGGCUGAGGCAGGAGGCUCACAAAUUUGAGGCCAGCCUAGACAACUUAGCGAGAGACAGAUGCAAAGAAAAUAAUUGGAGUCUGGAAAUGCAUCUCAGGGGUAGCACAUGCACAGCGCUCACCCCAGCCCUAAAGGGAGAGAGAACUAUGGGUGGGGAGAGGAUUUUGUGAGUAGAUGGUGUCAUUUGCACUGUGGGUCAGCAGAGGCUCAAAGAUAGGAUGGUAGAGCUGGGAAGUCACUGAGAGAGGAACUGAACCCAGCUCUAUCUCAGCCCAAAGUGUGUAGCUCCUGUCACUCCCUGAAGGUCACCUGUCUUGAGAGGGUGCUGGGGAGUUUAAGGAAAAGUUUGACCUGGGGCUUGGCAAGCCCAAGCAGGGGUUUUAAUACCUUUUUGUGUGUGCACCAUGGGCAUACGGUAAAAAAAUGGUCAGAAGAGAGCGAGGCCCCAUCCCUUGGAACUGGGUUAGCAGGCAUAUAUGGGUUCGGGGAAUUGUACCCAGAUUCUCUGCGAGAGCAGCUAGUGCUCUCCACCGGUAAACCACCUCUCCAACCCCCUGCUUAAUUUUGAGACAAGCUCACACCCUGUAGCCCAAGCUGGUCUUUAAACUCAUGGUAAUCCUCCUGUUUCAACCUCCUGAGUACGAGUACUGGGGAUGCAGGAAAUGUGUCACCUGGUGUCUCCACGCCCAGAAGAACGGUUUAAUACAUGUUCCUUCUCUUUCUGAAGCACAACAAUCAAAUUUAACCGGGCUUCCUCUAUUUUUGUCGGCACGAGCUGACAGCCCUAGUAGUAGGGAGAGGGUAAGCGUCCAUGGAACAAAUGAUGAACUUCCUCCACUUGGCCGUAUCGGAAACUUGCGGUGAAACCCAAGACUCUCUCUCGGCCCGUUUGCCCGGAGUGAACACGGGAGUGCGGGCGGACACUCAAGGGCAGGGAGGCUGCUGCAGAGAAGCGCUGGGGAGCUCGGGUCGCGCCCGCACGGCGGUCGCCACCCACGAUCCCUCGCCCCAGCAGGGGAGGGAGGAGGAAGCCCGAGCGCCACUCACUCCCCAG